CCGCGGUAAACGUAGAGCAGCGUUAUCCGGAUUUACUGGGCGUAAAGAGCGUUGAGGCGGUUCCGUAAGUUGGGCGUGAAAGCCCCGGGCUUAACCCGGGGAGGUCGUUCAAUACUGCGGGACUUGAGGGCAGCAGAGGGAGGCGGAAUUCCCGGUGUAGCGGUGAAAUGCGUGGAUAUCGGGAGGAACACCAGUGGCGAAGGCGGCCUCCUGGGCUGUUUCUGACGCUGAAGGCGAAAGCUAGGGGAGCGAACGGGAUUAGAAACCCCGGUAGUCCUAGCCGUAAACGAUGGAUGCUGGGUGUGGGGGGUAUAGAUCCCCUCCGUGCCGAAGCUAACGCGUUAAGCAUCCCGCCUGGGGAUUACGGCCGCAAGGCUUAAACUCAAACGAAUUGACGGGGGCCCGCACAAGCAGCGGAGCGUGUGGUUUAAUUCGAUGCUACACGAAGAACCUUACCUGGGCUUGACAUGUAGGUAGUAGUGAAGCGAAAGCGGAACGACCCUUCGGGGAGCCUACACAGGUGCUGCAUGGCUGUCGUCAGUUCGUGCCGUGAGGUGUCGGGUUAAGUCCCGUAACGAACGCAACCCUUGCCCUUAGUUACAUGUGUCUAAGGGGACUGCCCGGGACAACUGGGAGGAAGGUGGGGAUGACGUCAAGUCAGCAUGGCCUUUAUGUCCAGGACUACACACACGCUACAAUGGCCGGUACAAUGGGUCGCCAAGCCGUGAGGCGGAGCCAAUCCCCCAAAGCCGGUCUAAGUUCGGAUUGUGGGCUGCAACUCGCCCAUAUGAAGCUGGAGUUGCUAGUAACCGCGCGUCAGCAAUAGUGCGGUGAAUACGUUCCCGGGCCUUGUACACACCGCC
rnacentral:rRNA from 1 species